UACGAACCGUGCGAACGUUGUUCGGAAUCACUGGGCUUAAAGGGCGCGUAGGCGGGUCGGCCAGUCUGUGGUGAAAUCCCCCGGCUUAACCGGGGAACGGCCGCGGAUACUGCCGACCUCGAGGGGGGUAGGGGCGUGCGGAACACUAGGUGGAGCGGUGAAAUGCGUUGAUAUCUAGUGGAACACCGGUGGCGAAAGCGGCGCGCUGGACCCCUUCUGACGCUGAGGCGCGAAAGCCAGGGGAGCGAACGGG
rnacentral:rRNA from 1 species